AGAGUUUGAUCCUGGCUCAGGACGAACGCUGGCGGCGUGCUUAACACAUGCAAGUCGAACGGAAAGGCCCCUUUGGGGGUACUCGAGUGGCGAACGGGUGAGUAACACGUGAGUAACCUGCCCUUGACUUCGGGAUAACUUCAGGAAACUGGGGCUAAUACCGGAUAGGAAUCCUUGCUGCAUGGUGGGGGUUGGAAAGCUUCGGCGGUUUUGGAUGGACUCGCGGCUUAUCAGCUUGUUGGUGGGGUAGUGGCUUACCAAGGCUUUGACGGGUAGCCGGCCUGAGAGGGCGACCGGCCACAUUGGGACUGAGAUACGGCCCAGACUCCUACGGGAGGCAGCAGUGGGGAAUAUUGCACAAUGGGCGGAAGCCUGAUGCAGCAACGCCGCGUGCGGGAUGACGGCCUUCGGGUUGUAAACCGCUUUCAGCAGGGGCGAAGCUUUUGUGACGGUACCUGCAGAAGAAGCACCGGCUAACUACGUGCCAGCAGCCGCGGUGAUACGUAGGGUGCGAGCGUUGUCCGGAUUUAUUGGGCGUAAAGAGCUCGUAGGUGGUUGAUUGCGUCGGAAGUGAAAACUUGGGGCUUAACCCUGAGCGUGCUUUCGAUACGGGUUGACUUGAGGAAGGUAGGGGAGAAUGGAAUUCCUGGUGGAGCGGUGGAAUGCGCAGAUAUCAGGAGGAACACCAGUGGCGAAGGCGGUUCUCUGGACCUUUCCUGACGCUGAGGAGCGAAAGCGUGGGGAGCGAACAGCUUAGAUACCCUGGUAGUCCACGCUGUAAACGGUGGGUACUAGGUGUGGGGUCCAUUCCACGGAUUCCGUGCCGUAGCUAACGCAUUAAGUACCCCGCCUGGGGGAGUACGGCCGCAGGCUAAAACUCAAAGGAAUUGACGG
rnacentral:rRNA from 1 species